GAGGGAGAGAAGGACAGAGAGAGAGGAGAGAGAGAGAAAAUGGUACAGCGAGUGAGUGACUGAGUGAGCGGGCGAGUGAGAGGAGAGAGAGGGAGAGCGUGAGAGUGAGAGAGUGAGCAGAGGAGAGAGAGAGAGAGAAAAAGAGAGAGAGCGAGAGCAGUACAGAUCCAUCCUUCGUAGCACGCCUACACAGUGUCAGUAAUAAAGAUACACUGCUUCAGGUCGGAGGGCUGAAGACAAGUCCGUGAACGGAAUCCUGGGAGACGUUCGGAACGCCGAGUGGGAACGCCGCGAAGGAGACAGGUUGAUUGAAUAAAGGUUGGAAAAGAAAAGAAGAUCUGGAGAGCGUCAGAGGAAAGAGAGCAGAAGGCGAAGAAGAGGCGAAGAGGAGACGUCUGCAAAGUGUCUGCGAUGCACGUAGACGUUCCCUGGCAUGCAACGGCUGCACUGUAAACUCAGUGAAGGCAGUCUGAGACACACGUUUGGUCUGGGAGCAGAGGACAGGUCUGACAUAUGAAGAGGUAUCCCUCAGAAGUGCACCUGAAGCUCAUUUGUUGAACCACAAUGUAAAGUCAAAAUCAAUGGAUUGAGUAAAGGAACAAGAGCAACGAACAUUGCCGAGUGACAAACAUCGCAAAGCGACAA
rnacentral:lncRNA from 1 species